rnacentral:lncRNA from 1 species
AGCCUGAGACCAUAGUCACUUAAGGACUCCUAGGAGAAUGGGUGUCGCUCAUUUUGUACCCAUGUCUCAUUCAUUCAAGAUUAAAAAUCAGAAAUUUCUCCAAAGGAAAGUCAAAGGGAUGUUGUGGGAGCUGGAGGAAAGAACACCAGGCACGAGGGACAAAAGGUGAUUGUUCCAGUAAUGGUAACAGCUGAACUUCACCCAGUGCUCUCUGCGUCAUGUGUUGUACAACUGAUUCAUGUUCUCACAAUGAAUUUCUGAUUUGAGUCUCCUAAUUGGUUUGAUAGUGCUUCCAAAGCAAAUGACCACAAACUGAGUAUCUUAAAACAACAAAAAUUUCUUUUCUCACAUUUCCAGGGACCAAAAGCCAGAAAUUAGCGUUGCAGCAGGGUGGUCUUCCCAGAAGGGCUGGAGGCUCUAGUGGGGAAUAUUCGUUGCCUUUUCCAGCUUCCAGUGACGGUUGGCAUUCUACAGCUUCUUUUUUUCCCCAUGUUUUCAUUAGUGCAUUAUAAUUAUACAUAAUGGUAGGAUUCAUUGUUACAAAUUCAUACAUGAACAUGAGAUAAUAAUUUAAUUUGGCCAAUAUUCCAUGACUUUUUUGGUUUGUGCCUCUGUCUUCACAUCAUCUUCCCUCUUCUAUGUCUCCCCUUCUGCUUCUUGUAAGGACAUUUGUCAUUGGAUUUACAUCCCAUCUGCAUAAUCUAAGAUGAUCCUAUCUCAAGAUUGUUAAAUUAAUUACACCUGCAAAAAAAAAAAAAAAAAAAAAAAA